UAGGGAAUCUUCGGCAAUGGGGGCAACCCUGACCGAGCAACGCCGCGUGAGUGAAGAAGGUUUUCGGAUCGUAAAGCUCUGUUGUAAGAGAAGAACGUGUGUGAGAGUGGAAAGUUCACACAGUGACGGUAACUUACCAGAAAGGGACGGCUAACUACGUGCCAGCAGCCGCGGUAAUACGUAGGUCCCGAGCGUUGUCCGGAUUUAUUGGGCGUAAAGCGAGCGCAGGCGGUUUAAUAAGUCUGAAGUUAAAGGCAGUGGCUUAACCAUUGUUCGCUUUGGAAACUGUUAAACUUGAGUGCAGAAGGGGAGAGUGGAAUUCCAUGUGUAGCGGUGAAAUGCGUAGAUAUAUGGAGGAACACCGGUGGCGAAAGCGGCUCUCUGGUCUGUAACGGACGCUGAGGCUCGAAAGCGUGGGGAGCAAACAGG
rnacentral:rRNA from 1 species